ensembl:lncRNA
GAACAAACCUCACUGGACACCUCAGGCAGAGGGAGACUUCCCCAUGAAUGGAGCCCCUGCACUCCAGGAGUCUUUGCUAAAACAGAGAGAGCGACCAGAAGACUACAGCCGGAACCAGCCCUUUGGCUUUCAAACUCAAUUCAACUUCAAAUAUCUUUACAAAUAACAGACUGCAAUCAUCUGAGAAAGAGAGUGAGGAAUAAGCAUCAGAGACACUAUUGAAGCCAGACUCUGGUCUGGCGGUAAGACACCCAUACACAGUGAGCCUGCCCCUGCUGUCCUCCGAUGGAGACCCCGGGUAGAGCAAGACGCUGCUGCAACGUUACAGAUUUGAAGACACAACUCUGAGGCACGAAUGUACGUAGGUGGAGAAUGUCAAGCUACAACCUGUGAACAGGGGGACCCCCAGUAAAGGAGUCAUCCAGAGGGGAACACAGCGUUGCAGUGUGCGACAUGAAUGCAGUGAAAACUACUGAGCUGUCUGUCCACAGUAAGGAGAACAGGCAAAGUCCUGGACACCUAAAGACUAAAGAGGACGAGGAGGACCCCUGGGACAGGAAGGACCCCAGUAACCACACAACCAGGAAGCAUCCCUCAACCACUGGGGGAAAGAAUGGUGAGUUUCAAUAAUAUUAGUUAUAAUUCUAAUUAAAUGAAAAUAUAAACAGGACUAACAUUUGUGACUGACCGGCUUGAUUCGCUC